rnacentral:rRNA from 1 species
GCAUAUCAAUAAGCGGAGGAAAAAGAAACCAACAGGGAUUGCCCCCAGUAACGGCGAGUGAAGCGGCAACAGCUCAAAUUUGAAAUCUGGCCUUCGGGUCCGAGUUGUAAUUUGGAGAGGAUGCUUUUGGCGCGGCGCCGUCCGAGUUCCUUGGAACAGGACGCCAUAGAGGGUGAGAGCCCCGUACGGGCGGCCGCCUAGCCUUUGUAAAGCUCCUUCGACGAGUCGAGUAGUUUGGGAAUGCUGCUCAAAAUGGGAGGUAAAUUUCUUCUAAAGCUAAAUACCGGCCAGAGACCGAUAGCGCACAAGUAGAGUGAUCGAAAGAUGAAAAGCACUUUGAAAAGAGGGUUAAAAAGUACGUGAAAUUGUUGAAAGGGAAGCGCCUGUGACCAGACUUGCGACCCGUGGAUCAUCCGGUGUUCUUCACCGGUGCACUCCGCGGGCUGCAGGCCAGCAUCGGUUUUCCUAGGGGGAUAAAGGUCGCAGGAACGUAGCUCUUUCGGGAGUGUUAUAGCCUGUGGCGUCAUGCCUCUGGGGAGACCGAGGACCGCGCUUCGGCAAGGAUGCUGGCGUAAUGGUCACCGGCGACCCGUCUUGAAACACGGACCAAGGAGUCAAGCAUUGGGGCGAGUGUCUGGGUGCCAAACCCGCACGCGAAAUGAAAGUAAACGCAGGUGAGAGCUUCGGCGCAUCACCGACCGAUCCUGAUGUCUUCGGAUGGAUUUGAGUAAGAGCCUUACCGCUUGGACCCGAAAGAUGGUGAACUAUGCCUGUAUAGGGUGAAGCCAGAGGAAACUCUGGUGGAGGCUCGCAGCGGUUCUGACGUGCAAAUCGAUCGUCAAAUAUGGGCAUGGGGGGCGAAAGACUAAUCGAACCAUCUAGUAGCUGGUUACCGCCGAAG